rnacentral:lncRNA from 10 species
UAAUAAAAAUGGACUAAUUUUAAUAUACUUGUUUUAAAAAUGAUUUAUUAUGAUUAUCAUUCAAUCAGCAAUGCUGCUAGAAAGCUGUUAUUUAGCCUGAAUUUUAGAAAAUGUGUUAAUUUUUUUAAAGGUACAUUGAUUUUUUUUGAUAGGAAUAAAUUGAAUGCAGUGACGGUGGCAGCUUUGGCCAUGAUUAUUUAGGUAAACCACAACUAAUUCAUAAAGUGCUGAGGACCCUUUAAUACCUACCAAAAAUGGGCAGGCUGUCAAUUUGGAAGUUUCCAUGUGAAACAUAUUCUUUGACUUGGCCUCUGAAAAACUUUCCUGCAGUUCCCUGCGUAGAAUGUAGUUUAUUUAAGGGCUGAUUUUUAUACCAUGUAACAUAAGUUUAUUUUACUUGGUAGUAUGUAAAUUUUACUGGUG